AAAGUAAAGAUGGAGGACCUGGAUGUGUUUAGAGAAGGAGGGAUGUUGGACCCUGAUACUCUUGCACCAGAAUGGAGAAGCUCUCAAAUUGAGCUAGAGAAAGCUGAAGAGUCUCAGAACGGCAGGCCUGAAAUGGGAAAAGUGGAGGAGAGCACGGCUGUAGUACCUAUGCAGGUUCCUCCUGUCCAGCCA